UACGGGGGGAGCAAGCGUUGUUCGGAUUUACUGGGCGUAAAGGGCGCGUAGGCGGUCAGCACAAGUCAGUUGUGAAAUCUCCGGGCUUAACCCGGAAGCUGCCAUUGAUACUAUUUGUCUUGAAUACUGUGGAGGUCAGCGGAAUAUGUCAUGUAGCGGUGAAAUGCUUAGAUAUGACAUAGAACACCAAUUGCGAAGGCAGCUGG
rnacentral:rRNA from 1 species